UUCCCCUAGUAACUGCGAGUGAAGCGGGAAAAGCUCAAAUUUAAAAUCUGGCGGUCUUUGGCCGUCCGAGUUGUAGUCUGGAGAAGUGCUUUCCGCGCUGGACCGUGUAUAAGUCUCUUGGAACAGAGCGUCAUAGAGGGUGAGAAUCCCGUCUUUGACACGGACUACCAGUGCUUUGUGAUGCGCUCUCAAAGAGUCGAGUUGUUUGGGAAUGCAGCUCAAAAUGGGUGGUGAAUUCCAUCUAAAGCUAAAUAUUGGCGAGAGACCGAUAGCGAACAAGUACCGUGAGGGAAAGAUGAAAAGCACUUUGGAAAGAGAGUUAAACAGUACGUGAAAUUGCUGAAAGGGAAACGCUUGAAGUCAGUCGCGUUGUCCGGAACUCAGCCUUGCUUUCGCUUGGUGCACUUUCCGGAUGACGGGUCAGCAUCGAUUUUGACCGUCGGAAAAGGGCUGGAGUAAUGUGGCACCUCCGGGUGUGUUAUAGACUCUGGUCGCAUACGACGGUUGGGAUCGAGGAACGCAGCGCGCCGCAAGGCAGGGGUUCGCCCACUUUCGCGCUUAGGAUGCUGGCAUAAUGGCUUUAAACGACCCG
rnacentral:rRNA from 1 species